rnacentral:pre_miRNA from 1 species
AUUUUUUUAGGUUUUGAUUUUUAUUACAUCUUCAUGCGAAAAUCAAAACCUAAAGAAAAUG